GCCGAGGUGGUGAAAUUGGUAAACACGCUACUUUGAGGUGGUAGUGCCCUAUUUUGGGUUUGCGGGUUCAAAUCCCGUCUUCGGUA
rnacentral:tRNA from 1 species